rnacentral:rRNA from 1 species
AACGAACGCUGGCGGCAGGCUUAACACAUGCAAGUCGAACGGUUGUAGCAAUACAGCAGUGGCGCACGGGUGAGUAACGCGUGGAUAUCUGCCUUUUGGUUCGGAAUAACUCCGGGAAACUGGAGCUAAUACCGGAUGGUUCCUACGGGAUAAAGAUUUAUCGCCAAAAGAUGUGUCCGCGUACGAUUAGCUAGUUGGUGGGGUAAUGGCCCACCAAGGCGACGAUCGUUAGCUGGUCUGAGAGGACGAUCAGCCACACUGGGACUGAGACACGGCCCAGACUCCUACGGGAGGCAGCAGUGGGGAAUAUUGGACAAUGGGGGCAACCCUGAUCCAGCCAUGCCACGUGAGUGAUGAAGGCCUUCGGGUUGUAAAGCUCUUUUGGCGGGGACGAUGAUGACGGUACCCGCAGAAUAAGCCCCGGCUAACUUCGUGCCAGCCGCCGCAGUAA